rnacentral:rRNA from 1 species
UACGGGGGGGGUAAGCGUUGUUCGGAAUUACUGGGCGUAAAGGGCGCGUAGGCGGCCUGGCAAGUGGAAGGUGAAAUCCCUCGGCUUAACCGAGGAACUGCCCUCCAAACUGCUUGGCUUGAGUCCGGGAGAGGUGAGUGGAAUUCCCAGUGUAGCGGUGAAAUGCGUAGAUAUUGGGAGGAACACCAGUGGCGAAGGCGGCUCACUGGACCGGAACUGACGCUGAGGCGCGAAAGCGUGGGGAGCAAACGGG